CCCUCAAGGGUUGUGCACGCCCGAGUGCUCUCACACAAUCCAUCUCACCUUUGUGCAUCACCGCGUGGGUCCCCUUUGCGGGAGGGCUCACGUUUUCACAUAAAACUCGAUACAGUGUAGAAUGUUUCUUUUGCGGUCGCACGCAAUCAAUACAACUUUCAACAACGGAUCUCUUGGCUCUCGCAUCGAUGAAGAACGCAGCGAAAUGCGAUACGUAAUGUGAAUUGCAGAAUUCAGUGAAUCAUCGAAUCUUUGAACGCACCUUGCGCCCCUUGGCAUUCCGAGGGGCACACCCGUUUGAGUGUCGUGAAAUCUUCAAAAACCCUUUUUUCUUUGAACCAUUGUGGUCGGAAAAAGGAUUUUUGGACUUGGAGGCUUUAAUGCUUGCCCUUUCUUUUUUUUGAAAGCGAGCUCCUCUCAAAUGAAUUAGUGGGGUCCGCUUUGCUGAUCCUUGACGUGAUAAAAUGUUUCUACGUUUUGGGUUUAGCACUGUCCCUUGGAUGCCUGCUGCUAACCGUCUCAUUGACAAUGAUGGUGCUCCGG
rnacentral:misc_RNA from 1 species